rnacentral:rRNA from 1 species
AACGCGAAGAACCUUACCAGUCCUUGACAUGUCUCGUAUGGGUUUGAGAGAUCAAAUCCUUCGGUUCGGCCGGCGAGAACACAGGUGCUGCAUGGCUGUCGUCAGCUCGUGUCGUGAGAUGUUGGGUUAAGUCCCGCAACGAGCGCAACCCUCAUCUUCAGUUGCCCACGGGUCAGGCCGGGCACUCUGAAGAAACCGCCGGUGACAAGCCGGAGGAAGGCGGGGAUGACGUCAAGUCCUCAUGGCCCUUACGGACUGGGCUACACACGUACUACAAUGGUGGUGACAGUGGGCUGCGAAGUCGCAAGACGGAGCCAAUCCCCAAAAACCAUCUCAGUUCAGAUUGCACUCUGCAACUCGAGUGCAUGAAGUUGGAAUCGCUAGUAAUCGCAGAUCAGCACGCUGCGGUGAAUACGUUCCCGGGCCUUGUACACACCGACUGUAC